GGACCAGUCAUACUACUGCAACAUCAAGCAAGUCACUGACGAGUGGAUAGACAUCCAAGUGACUUCUUGUCUUGGUCACGCUCAGUACCCUUAUUCUCUAACAAGCACCUGCACUAUCACUUCAGUGUCCCUACACCGUGGACUCAAGUCUCGUCCAUCCAGAAGGAAAGUGAUCUGUGCACUGAUCGGAUCAAUCACCGUCCUCGUGAUGAUCCAUUGAUCAGGAGCAUUUAGAAAUUAAUCACCAAUGAUACAU
rnacentral:lncRNA from 1 species